UCGGGAAUUUUGGGCAAUGGGCGAAAGCCUGACCCAGCGACGCCGCGUGAAGGAUGAAGUAUUUCGGUAUGUAAACUUCGAAAGAAUAGGAAGAACAAAUGACGGUACCAUUUAUAAGCUCCGGCUAACUACGUGCCAGCAGCCGCGGUAAUACGUAGGGAGCAAGCGUUGUUCGGAUUUACUGGGCGUAAAGGGCGCGUAGGCGGCGCGGUAAGUCACUUGUGAAAUCUCUGAGCUUAACUCAGAACGGCCAAGUGACACUGCUGUGCUAGAGUGCGGAAGAGGCAACCGGAAUUCUUGGUGUAGCGGUGAAAUGCGUAGAUAUCAAGAGGAACACCUGAGGCGAAGGCGGGUUGCUGGGCCGACACUGACGCUGAUGCGCGAAAGCCAGGGGAGCAAACG
rnacentral:rRNA from 1 species